GGGCUCUCUGCUGUUUUUAAAAUAAACCAAAGAGGCAAAUGGCCUCUCCGGGUCAGACCCCCAGACAUGCCUCUUCUGUGAUGAACUGCAUGCAAUUCUAGGGGGUGCCCUCACC